CGUGUAGGCGGGAAAGAAAGUCAGGAGUGAAAUCCCACGGCUUAACUGUGGAGCUGCUUCUGAAACUUCUUUUCUUGAGUGUCGGAGAGGAAAGUGGAAUUCCAAGUGUAGCGGUGAAAUGCGUAGAGAUUUGGAGGAACACCAGUGGCGAAGGCGGCUUUCUGGACGAUAACUGACGCUGAGGCGCGAAAGCGUGGGGAGCAAACAGGAUUAGAUACCCUGGUAGUCCACGCUGUAAACGAUGGAUACUAGGUGUAGGAGGUAUCGACCCCUUCUGUGCCGCAGUUAACACAAUAAGUAUCCCACCUGGGGAUACGGCCGCAAGGUUGAA
rnacentral:rRNA from 1 species